AGAUUUAAAGCAUUAAUUUGAAGCGUUAAAGAUAAUUUAAUUAGAG
rnacentral:tRNA from 1 species